rnacentral:misc_RNA from 1 species
UCUCCGUUGGUGAACCAGCGGAGGGAUCAUUACAGGAUCGAAAGACUCCUAUAACCCCUGUGAACUUACUACAAAUACGUUGCUUCGGCGGGUGCCCCGGGUCUCCCGGGGCGUUCAGCCCGCCGGCAGCCUUCAAAUUCUGUUUCUUUGCGUUGGCAUCUCGAGUAUACAAAAAUAAGUUAAAACUUUCAACAACGGAUCUCUUGGUUCUGACAUCGAUGAAGAACGCAGC